UGAGAUAGGAUGGCUAGAGUAAUACUGAGUUUGAUUUUUUUUCUUUCCUUAUGUGGAAGCCUCCAAGGGGCUAGAUUUGGGUAUUUUCUUCUCCCAGGUCAGUUAGACUCUGAUAAAAUGCUAAAAGUUUAGGCUCUGGUAAGAUAGUUUCUCUUUAGGGCAGGCCUUAUUAAGAAAAAUAAAAUGCUCUGGCAUAUUUAAAAAUGGUUUCCUUUUUCCUCUCCUUUUCAGAAGCAUGGGAUGAUUUUUUCCCAAUAUUCACUGUGAGAAUCUGUCAG
rnacentral:lncRNA from 1 species